GAUGAACGCUGGCGGCGUGCUUAACACAUGCAAGUCGAACGAGAAGUGAAGACGGAAACCUUCGGGCGGAAGGCUUUAUUUCGAGUGGCGGACGGGUGAGUAACGCGUGGGUAACCUGCCUCAUACAGGGGGAUAACAGUUGGAAACGACUGUUAAUACCGCAUAAGACCACAGCACCGCAUGGUGCGGGGGUAAAAACUCCGGUGGUAUGAGAUGGACCCGCGUUCGAUUAGCCAGUUGGCGGGGUAACGGCCCACCAAAGCGACGAUCGAUAGCCGAUCUGAGAGGAUGACCGGCCACAUUGAGACUGAGACACGGCCCAAACUCCUACGGGAGGCAGCAGUGGGGAAUAUUGCACAAUGGGGGAAACCCUGAUGCAGCGACGCCGCGUGAGUGAAGAAGUAUUUCGGUAUGUAAAGCUCUAUCAGCAGGGAAGAAAAUGACGGUACCUGAGUAAGAAGCCCCGGCUAACUACGUG
rnacentral:rRNA from 1 species